UAAUGUUGAAAAAUUCCUUCUCUAUUGCACCCUAACGUUGUACAAGGAACCUCUAUGAAUAAUUUUGUAUUGCAUCAUAACUAGAGCGAAACCCUAAGCAUAUAUAAACUGAAAAUAGUUAUUAUUAAAUUUUAUAUUUUUUUCCUCAUUUCAAAGGCAGUAUUUGUCUCAUGAAUUAUUAUUUCAGAGCAUAUGUAAUUCAGAUUGUAAGAACAAAAACCUUCAUUAUCUCUCAUGCUUUCCUUUCUAAUCUUUCGUCAUCUCUCCCACUCUUCUAACUGAUUAUAUUCAGAGUUGUGAUCAGGCGAUGGAACUCUCACGAAGCAAAACAUUCAAAUUAUUUGAAUUUAUGAAGCGGGGCAGAAACUAGCUACACGAUUGGUUAAAUUACAAAAAGUUUGCCGCGAACCGUCGCAAAUAGCUCAUUUGAUGCUUCUGCGUGGCGGUUUCCGCGUCAUAGGUGCUUCAUGCUGUAGCAAUCGCAAAUUCCUGCAAGCCUGAUCGGCUUGGUUACUGCCAGUAUGUUGCCUGUCUAUCGUAGUGUGUAGUUGCGAGAGAUUUUGUUCGCAUAUUUCCCACUUAAUUUACCGAGUUAUUUUUAUCUAUUAUACAGUACGUACCUAACUGAUCUAUGUUUGCUAUUCUUUGUUUUUAGUAAUUAUGAUUACCCGUAAAUGAUAGAAAAAAGAACCUUCAAGUUAGUUUGGUGUUACUGAAAUCAGUAAUCGUCUACUACCAGGGUGUGCCGUUUUUGUUGGACUUUCCUAAAUGCUGAGUGGCUGACUUUUCAUCCUGGACGUUUUUGCACAACGUUUUUAAAACUCUGGAUGCUAUCUGCUAGGAAGCACUGGUCUUUCACUCCAAAUUAUAUCAGUACCUGUUAGAAGGGCAAAAGGGCCUUUUUCUUUUUCAAAUGGCCGAAAAAGGAAUUUAUCAAAAAGUGAAUUUUCGACCACGAGUGAUUGCUAUGUUCCUUCCCGCCCUGUUGGCUGAUUCAUUUACCUUUGGAGUUUGGAACAUACAUUCCCAGCAGUUACAUAAGAUUUCUGACAAAUGAGAGAGUAUAAAGUUCAGUUUGGUCGUACUCCAACAACCACUGUCUACAUGGGAACUGCAUUUCCUGGACUACAUUUUUGAUUUGCUGUUUUCAUCUUGCAACAUUAUGCAGUUGGUUUUCAACCGCUGAGUAAGAGCAACUGGAGAUUUAUUUGAAUUCCACUGAAUCAACAAUGUGCUAUGUUCCCUCCUGCUCUGUUGGCUGAUUUAUCUACAUUUGGAACGUACAUUCUCCGCAGUUACUUAAGAUUUCCAACAAAUGAGAAAGAAUGAAGUUCAGUUUGGACGUACUCAAACAACCACUGUCUACAUGGAUAUUCUAUUUCCUAGACCACAUUCUUCUUCAUCUUCAUCGUGCAACAUUAUGCAGUUAGUCUUCAACCGAGGAGUGAGAACAACGGGAGAUUUAUUUGAACUUCACUGAAGCAACAAAUUUUCUACUAUGGUAUUCCUCUUGGAUUUUGUUUGCUUUUUACACCUGCAAACUUGACAGCCUACAGUUGACUAAGGUGAGAAUAUUUAAUAUUAUUAUUUAUAAUUAAUGACUCUUUAUUAAUCUGUUACCACCCUAUCUGUUUCAGAUCGACGCUGGAGAAGACAAAGAAGAUCCGUAGUUAGAGUAGUUCUCUAUCUUGCAUGCUUUAUUUCAUUGAAUUAAUUCUUGAAGUUCAUUUUAUUCAAAUUAAAUGUUUUUUGUAGCUUAUUUUAUUUCAAUUAAUUUUUAUUUUGCAUGCUUA